AUUGUUACAAGGCAAAUAGCAGGCACUCGUCUAAUGCUGUUUAUGUAAAAUGUACAUAGCAUACUUAUAAAUAUUUUUAAUACAUAUAUAAAUUGAUGGUCACUACAGAGCUUUAAAUUGAUUUCGACCUCAAUUCAGACUUGUGCCGUCGCCGUCUCAUUUCACUUGAGCAAAGCGACGUUUAAUUUUCACUUUGCACUUGCUGCUGCGAUACUACCGUUGCCAUCGCCGUUUACUGCGGCGCUGUCGUCAUUUCUUCUGCCCUUACAUCUGCUUUCCCCCUCACAACAAAAAAACAUUCGCAUAUAUUUGGGAAUGUUUGAGCUUUUUCGUGCAUUAACGGAGAUUUGUGGCUUACCGCGAGAAAAUAUGACCAGAUAACGACUAACGUCUGGAAAAAGCAUUGCGUAUAAGAGAGGUCAAAUAACGAAAAAUAAUGUCUAAAUACAGUUCAAUGUAUUUUAAACGAAAACAUUUUUGUUAUGUUAUACAUAUAUGUAUAAAAUGCUUGAUAAAUGCAAUGGCGCAUCAUGAUAUAUCUCACAAACAAGAUGCGACUCGGGUAGGUAACAAAGAUUUCAAAGCGGAAAAUCCAACAAAUGAAGCUAAACGCAUCACAUAUAUAUGUAUGUAUCCAUAUAGGAACAUGUGGCCCGUGUACACAAUAAAUUACAAUAGGGGAAAAAGAUGAAAAUGUUAUACGUGAGUAGGUAAAUGUGCAUCUACCUAGUGUAUGUAUACUAGAAAUGGAAGAUGUGGCGGGGCGCGCGACGAGACAAAAUAACACAUCGACGUCGUCGCCAUCUUGGUUGCGACGUCGUUCGUGUGAUUCAUUGGCAUUGUUUUGCGAGGCUAACGUACUGCGACAGCGACGUUGGCAGCGCUGUUUCAGAAGCCCGAAUUUUCUUUGUACAAGUCAAGAUGAAAAAUCCAUAAUCCCAAAAAAUCACCAGUAUAAUUCACUGUAGCAUAAAUGUUUGCUAAUAAUCGAUUUUAUGCAGUUAAUAACACGAUUUACAGUUCGCUAAUAUGCAUAGAAUAUUUCUGUAUGUAUGCAAUGCUCGUAGAAACGAAUGGAAAAAACUCAUGUCCAUUAGUCUAGUUAACUUCCAAUUUUAAUUUUCGCAUUUAACUUUCUUUUUCUUUCGCCUUACCCACUUACUUUUCACACACAAAUAUAAGCAGUAUUUUAAUCAAUAAAUGUAUAUAUAAUUUUGAUAAUAUAAAUGCACUUACCGUUUCUAAUAAAAAUUUAUUUUUCUGCAAACCGAUGCACAAAAAUUGAAACUCACUAGCCAAGGCAAAGGCAAAAACGAAGAAAUUAACUUUUGUCACCGAACCUAAUGGCGAAGCAAACGAAACGAACGAGUAUACCAGAGUGUCUGCAAGCAUGCACAAUUGCUACUAUUUUCCAAUUCGACAAGUUGCAACGAAUGUUAUGAUUUGACAAGAAAUAUAUAUUUGAAUGAGCGACAGACAGAACAAAACGAUAAAUCGGUAUAACUGCAAGAUUUUGAAAACGAAACAAUUUUAUUGCUGAGACAAUUGACAAUUGAAGUUAUCUAAAAAAAAAAUUGAAGAGUGAAAACACAAAGUAAUAUUUAAAUAUGAUUUAUAUAAAGCAGGAGUAGUGAAACGUAAUUAAACUGUAGUUUAAAAAGAUAAUUAUAAUUAAAUUUUAUGAUUUUCUAUAUAAAAAUUGAGAGCUGCGUAAAAGAUUUUAAAAUCAAAAAAUGGUAAUUAUAAAGUGUUUCAUUUCAUUGGAUGAUGACAGUAAAGAGGCAUCACUGGCGUAUUCGCUAAAAUCGUUUCAGCGAUAUGGUGAAAGUGGAAGCGUUUCGAAAUGCGUUACAGGGUGACAAGGGAGGCAAGAAGUAAUUAUCAUUCAAAGAAAAUUAAAUUAUUUGAAUGAAAAAUUAAUUAAAUAUUUAUAAAACUAUAACUAUAUAACUUGAAAUGGUAGAUUUAGAAAAUUUUGAUUUGUAGAAGAAACUUCUUCACUUCCUAGAAAAACGUUUUACAAAUUCUUUUAAGUGUAACAUGUAUCGAGAAAUGACAAAUGCUGUUAUCGAUAAAUACAUCGGAUGUGUUUUGCUUUUGUGCGUUAUAAUUUGAUGGAAGGAAUAUUAUAAAAUACAAAACCUAAAUCGUGUAUAUGAAGAAUUGUAAAUUAAACACUAAAUUUCAUAAAAUAAAAUUUCAAAGAAAGUGAAAUGAUGUUAGCAAGUGAUUCGCGAUAACAUAGACAAUUUCUAAAGCUUGCAAACUGAGACAACUGCCAAGUUUAACGCUUCCGGAGUCGUUGCGACGGCUUAGGCAAAGCAAAAAUCGAAGGGGCCCAAAUCAGCGAGUGCUUCAAGUGAAUUGUGAUACGAUCAAACGUUUUGAAAAAGCAUUCAGCAUUCAGUUAUUCGACCAAUAAAUUCAAAUAUCCAUAUCAACAGAUACAAUUGAUUCUUCUCGGCUCGGUACGAUUGCAUGUAGAAAACAGUUUGGAGCAUAGACACCAUAGCUGAUAUAAUGUCGUGAUCUAAAAUUAAUGUUUGGAAUAUUCACCAAUGCUUUGAAAUUUCGUCUGGAAUCGCUAGAAUUAAGUUGUGGAAACGUUAAAGUCACAGAUGACACUGAGAUAAAUUGGCAGUCAACAGAUCAAUUACUCUCUAACCAAGAUUUUCAAUCGAAGAAUCAGUAAAAUGUCGUCUCUUGAAGCAAAAACUUGUUCAAGAAAGCGUCUCAAACUCUCUUUAAUAUAUGAUCAUUAUCACUAUUCACUCCCAUGCAUUUUAAAAUAUAAAAAACAGCAUUUUUGAAUUGAAAAUUGAUUUAUUUUUUCACUUUACAUUUGAUUUAUUUUCUAAAGAACUUAGACGAAAUUACAAGGAUAAUUAUUAUUUAUCAUUUGCUUAACUAUUUACGAAGUGUCUUAGCGCUUACGGCAAUUGAAUAACUUUAAGUACCUCAUUUAUUAUUAUUUAUAAUAUUAUAUUAUAUUUAUUUAUUUAUUAUUAAAUUUACUUGUUUCUAACAUAAAAUCGUAAGUGUGUUAAGUACAUAUACAUUAAUAUGUUUGCUUAUAUAUUUCUAUGUACACAUUUUAUUUGAUAUUUAUAAGUACCUUAAAACCGCAGUAAUGAAUACAAUUUUACAAAUACUAAACGACUAACUAAGUAUCUUUUCAAACACAGCUGCUACUAAAUUACAUUGCAAUACACACACGCCUACAAACAAAAAUUGAUGCAAAUAUGUGUGUGUACAGUUAAAAAUGA